UACGGAGGGGGCUAGCGUUAUUCGGAAUUAUUGGGCGUAAAGGGCGUGUAGGCGGCUUCGUAAGUCUUGUGUGAAAGCCCUCGGCUCAACCGAGGAAUUGCACGAGAAACUGCGUGGCUCGAGUCCGGGAGAGGAUAGUGGAAUUCCCAGUGUAGCGGUGAAAUGCGUAGAUAUCAGGAGGAACACCGGUGGCGAAGGCGGAUCUCUGGGCCUUACCUGACGCUCAGGUGCGAAAGCUAGGGGAGCGAACAGG
rnacentral:rRNA from 1 species